UCCUUAUGAGUAUGGCGGUGCCACCGUG
rnacentral:piRNA from 1 species